rnacentral:rRNA from 1 species
UACGAAGGGGGCUAGCGUUGCUCGGAAUCACUGGGCGUAAAGCGCACGUAGGCGGACUCUUAAGUCGGUGGUGAAAUCCUGGAGCUCAACUCCAGAACUGCCUUCGAUACUGGGAGUCUUGAGUCCGAGAGAGGUGAGUGGAACUGCGAGUGUAGAGGUGAAAUUCGUAGAUAUUCGCAAGAACACCAGUGGCGAAGGCGGCUCACUGGCUCGGUACUGACGCUGAGGUGCGAAAGCGUGGGGAGCAAACAGG